UGGGUUGCAUUCAGGUGAUGUGGGGUAGUGUCCCACAAGUCUUA
rnacentral:tRNA from 1 species